GAUGAACGCUGGCGGCGUGCCUAACACAUGCAAGUCGAACGAGAAGUUAACCACUGAUUCCUUCGGGAUGAGGAGGUUAGCGGAAAGUGGCGAACGGGUGAGUAACGCGUGGGUAAUCUACCCUGUAAGUGGGGGAUAACCCUCCGAAAGGAGGGCUAAUACCGCAUAAUAUCUUCACUUCUAAAAGAAGAGAAGAUUAAAGAUGGCCUCUGUCUUAAGCUAUCACUUCAGGAUGAGCCUGCGUCCUAUUAGUUAGUUGGUGGGGUAAUGGCCUACCAAGACCACAAUGGGUAGCCGGUCUGAGAGGAUGUACGGCCACACUGGGACUGAGAUACGGCCCAGACUCCUACGGGAGGCAGCAGUGGGGAAUAUUGCGCAAUGGGGGAAACCCUGACGCAGCGACGCCGCGUGGAUGAUGAAGGCCUUUGGGUUGUAAAAUCCUGUUUUGGGGGAAGAAACCUUAAGGGUCCAAUAAACC
rnacentral:rRNA from 1 species